rnacentral:lncRNA from 1 species
GGGUGUUCGUGUUGUGUAAACCACGGGCGCGGGGUGGGGCGCGGGGUGGGGCGCGGGGCGGGCCCUGGGCGGGUAGGGUGGACACACCGGCCGGUAUAAGGCGGGCGCCCGGUCGGCUACACAGCGCAUCACCUCGACCGCUCCGUCUGCGCUUCGCUGCGGCCCCGGGUGAGUUCUCGCCAGCGCGGCCCGGCGCCCCCGCCUUCGCCCAGCCGCCGCCUGCCCCCGGGGGGCUGCUGCGGACUCUGCGGGCGGCGCCGGGAUCCCGCUGCGGCGUCUGCGAGCCCCUGGGCCGGCGGGAGGGUCGGGAGCGGCGGGCCAGCCCCGGGCUGGGCGUGCGGCGGGGCGGCUCCCCGCGCUCUGCUGGGGCGCGGGAGGGUGUGGCCUGGGUGUGUCAACGCCGCAGCUGUGGUCUUGUGAGGCUGUGUGUGGGGCUGGUUGUGCUGCCUCCACCUCCCCGCCCCCCAUCCUCCCCAACUUCUCCUGGAACCCCUGGAGUUCUCAGCUGUGGCCCUAUUUGCUCUUUAGGAUCCUUGCACCACCUCUCCUCGUGUCCCCCUCAGGCCGCUGAUCUCCUGAACCUAGAGUUUGCCCACUCGCUCCCCUUCAAGCCCUGGGUUGUCUCCUGAGGCCACCUGUGUGUGCCUGAGGCUGGGUGGUUCAGGCAGGCAGACAAAAGGAGUGCGUGGGUUCGAGGAGAAGGGGACAGAGCUCCUGGGGUGUUGGGUGAGUGGGAAGCCCCUGCUGACCAGCCCCUCUGCCCCCAGCUCUGAGUCCAGCCUUCAGCCAUGGCGUGCCCCCUGGAUCAGGCCAUCAGCCUCCUCGUGGCUAUCUUCCACAAGUACUCCAGCAGGGAGGGCGACAAGAACACCUUGAGCAAGGGUGAGCUGAAGGAGCUGAUCCAGAAGGAGCUCACCAUUGGCGCUGAGCUGGAGGACUCGGAAAUUGCAAAGCUGUUGGAUGACCUGGACCAGAACAAGGACCAGGUGGUGAACUUCCAGGAAUAUGUCACCUUCCUUGGGGCUUUGGCUAUGAUAUACAAUGAAGUCCUCAAGGCCUGCAGUUAAGUUGGCAAAGUGGAGACACACUCUAGUGGGCUUGUCUGAGUCAAAUCCAGUGGUUGUUAAUUGUACAAUAAAUAUUCUUUUUGGUCGAAUCUAC